rnacentral:rRNA from 1 species
UACGUAGGGGGCGAGCGUUGUCCGGAAUUAUUGGGCGUAAAGAGCUCGUAGGCGGCCUGUCGCGUCAAUUGUGAAAGCCCGGGACUCAACCCCGGGUCUGCAGUCGAUACGGGCAGGCUAGAGUGCGGUAGGGGAGAUCGGAAUUCCUGGUGUAGCGGUGAAAUGCGCAGAUAUCAGGAGGAACACCGGUGGCGAAGGCGGAUCUCUGGGCCGACACUGACGCUGAGGAGCGAAAGCGUGGGGAGCGAACAGG